rnacentral:rRNA from 1 species
UACGUAGGGGGCUAGCGUUGUCCGGAUUUAUUGGGCGUAAAGAGCGUGUAGGCGGCCAGACAGGUCCGUUGUGAAAACUCGAGGCUCAACCUCGAGAUGUCGAUGGAAACCGUCUGGCUAGAGUCCGGAAGAGGAGAGUGGAAUUCCUGGUGUAGCGGUGAAAUGCGCAGAUAUCAGGAAGAACACCAAUGGCGAAAGCAGCUCUCUGGGACGGUACUGACGCUGAGACGCGAAAGCGUGGGGAGCGAACAGG